UUGAAAGGGAAACGAUUGAAGUCAGUCGUACCAGCGGGAAAUCAACCUUUCGAGUGGGGGUUUUGGAGUUUUGAAGAGUGUCAAAACCUUUGAGAUUUCAAAAUAUUCGCUCUUUUGGUGUACUCUCUCGUGGGUAGGUUAACAUCGAUUUUGAUCAUCAUAAAAAGAUUGGAGGAAUGUAGCUUCGAUCUUGUAUUGAAGUGUUAUAGCCUUUGGUAAAUGUGAUGAUUAGGAUCGAGGAUUGCAACGAAUACCCUUUUGGGCUAUCCGCCUGAUCUCUGAUACGUGGCCUUGGUAUCGAAAGCGUGCUUAUGGUAUUGAGGUAUUACGGUCAAAAGGUUAGAACGGAUUACAUUCGUUAAGGAUGUUGACGUA
rnacentral:rRNA from 1 species